rnacentral:rRNA from 1 species
GUCUAUGGUCAUGCCGCCUGAACAAGCCCGAUCUGUCUGAUCUCGGAAGCUAAGCAAGGUCAGGCUGCUAAACAGGGUCAGGCCUGGUUAGUACUUGGAUUGGAGACCAUGUAGGAAGACCAGGUGCUGUAGGCA